rnacentral:rRNA from 1 species
AUGCACGUUUGUGUCCUGGGCCUCUGUCAUGAGGGCAUCUCCAACAGCUUGUAUGUUAGCUUGUUGGUAAAAUAUGUCAUGUCAUCAACCAACACCUUAACAUACAACAAUUCCAAUGGGUUGUAUCUAGUUUGCCUAGUAGGAUAUGAGAUAAUAAAUAAGGUUCUCUCAUUCUACAUUGGAGCUUGUGCAAGGGUGAUAUUUCAUGUACAUACAACCUUCCUCUCUUCCCUCAUUUAUUGUAUGACACAUUAUCAAAAAUCUUAUGUGGCAAAGUCUACCAACAACUAUCUUACAAUCAUUGAAGAUGCCCUAAGUAGGCGAUGA